GAUGAACGCUGACAGAAUGCCUAACACAUGCAAGUCAACCGUGGAGGACAGGGGAGUAAAGCGUAAAGAAGAGGACUGACAGAGAAGGACAACAUUUGGAAAAGAAUAAUAAUAGCAGAUACUGGGAGAGGGGUUUGCGUCACAUUAGAUAGUAGGAGAGGUAACGGCGCACCAAGGCGAUGAUGGGGAGCCGGCCUGCGAGGGUGAUCGGCCACAAGGGGACUGGGAGGCGGCCCGUACGCCUACGGGGGGCAGGAGUGGGGAAUAUCGAACAAAGGACCCAAGUCUGAGCCAGCAUUUCGGUGUGAACGAUGAAGGUUUCGGAAUGUAAAGGGCUUUCAGUUAGGAAGCGGUACCUACCGAAGAAGUGACGGCUAACUACGUGCCAGCCGCCGCGGUAAUUC
rnacentral:rRNA from 1 species